CCUACGGGAGGCAGCAGUGGGGAAUCUUGCGCAAUGGGCGAAAGCCUGACGCAGCAACGCCGCGUGCGGGAAGAAGGCUUUCGGGCUGUAAACCGCUUUCAGCAGGAACGAAAAUGACGGUACCUGCAGAAUAAGCACCGGCUAACUACGUGCCAGCAGCCGCGGUAAUACGUAGGGUGCAAGCGUUAAUCGGAAUUACUGGGCGUAAAGCGUGCGCAGGCGGUUCGGAAAGAGAGGUGUGAAAUCCCAGGGCUUAACCUUGGAACUGCACUUUUAACUCCCGAGCUAGAGUAUGUCAGAGGGGGGUUGGAAUUCCGCGUGUAGCAGUGAAAUGCGUAGAUAUGCGGAGGAACACCGAUGGCGAAGGCAGCCCCCUGGGAUGAUACUGACGCUCAUGCACGAAAGCGUGGGGAGCAAACAGGAUUAGAUACCCUGGUAGUCCACGCCCUAAACGAUGUCAACUAGCUGUUGGGGGCUUCGGGCCCUUAGUAGCGCAGCUACGCGUGAGUAGACCGCCGUGGGAGGUACGGUCGCGAGAUAAACUACAAUAGAGUAGACGGCGUGAGACGUGCCGACGGACGACGACGAGGGAGGUAGG
rnacentral:rRNA from 1 species